CCUACGGGAGGCUGCAGUGAGGAAUAUUGGUCAAUGGACGAGAGUCUGAACCAGCAAAGUAGCGUGAAGGAUGACUGCCCUAUGGGUUGUAAACUUCUUUUAUAAAGGACUAAAACGAGGCACGUGUGCCUUUUUGCAUGUACUUUAUGAAUAAGGAUCGGCUAACUCCCUGCCAGCCGCCGCGGUAAUACGGAGGAACCGAGCGUUCUCCGGAUUUAUUGGGUUUAAGGGGAGCGUAGAUGGGUUGUUAAGUCAGUUGUGAAAGUUUGCGGCUCAACCGUAAGAUUGCAAUUGAUACUGGCAGUCUUGAGUACAGUUGAGGUAGGCGGAAUUCGUGGUGUAGCGGUGAAAUGCUUAGAUAUCACGAAGAACCCCGAUUGCGAAGGCAGCUUACUAAACUGUGACUGACAUUGAUGCUCGAAAGUGUGGGUAUCAAACAGGAUUAGAUACCCGAGUAGUC
rnacentral:rRNA from 1 species